GUUUCUAGCUUUUUUUUUAUUCUGAUCAGACAAUAUUCUGAUGCAGGGUUUCAACCGGAAACAUCGACAAUCCUUUUCUCCCCCACAAGCGUGGCUCAACCUGCUGAGUUCCUCCAGCAGAUUGUGUGUUGCUCUAGAUUCCGGCAUCUUCAGUCUCGUGUCAACAUCCUGGCUGUAGUACUGAAGACCUGCACUUCAGAACAACUCAUGCCUCUAGUAUUGGGCAAUUCUAACCCAUCCAAUUUCAAGCCCUGCCUCUUGAGAUACAAGGUCCAUGUGUGGAGAUCAACUCAACCUAAUGAGCAUUGAUUACAUAGGAGAAGUGGUCGAUGUAAUAAAUCCCCCGACACCCUUCAAAGAUAAAUCAGAGGAAUUUUCUCAGGAUUCCCGGCUAUGGUAUUUCAUCAAAUCAACAUCAUUGCAAAAACAUCCAAUUAUCAUUUGGUGGUACAUUAUCUCCAGUGCUUUUUAUGAUGUUUACAUAUGCCAUAGUGCUUUGUAAGAGAGUCAAUGUGCAUAUAGUAAAUUCACUUCCACAGGAAUGUGGAAAUGACCAAAUAAUUUGCUUUAAUGAUGAGG